AGACAUGAACCACUGGCUGAGAAACAUCCUGAUUCUGACUCUCUGGCUAGAGUGUAAAGGAGAAGACAGAGUGACCCAGCCAGCAGGAGAUGUCAUUGCUGCUGAAGGAGACACAGUUACACUUGGCUGUACUUUUGAGACCAGUGACCAAUACCCCUACUUGUUCUGGUACAAACAAGAAGUAAAUGAGUCUCCUAAGUACAUGCUGAAAAGUUACUCAAAAACAACAGAUUUUGAUGCAGAGUUCACAAAAGACAGAUUUAAUGCUACAAUCAAGGAUAAGUCAGUUCCUCUGAAGAUCCAGAAGCUUCAGCUGUCUGACUCUGCUGUGUACUACUGUGCUCUGCGGCCCACAGUGACAGGAAACACCAAAACUCUGUACAAAAACCUUUGGAGCAAAGACAACAGAAUACUCCACAACGUCCACUAGAGGGAGUCACACACUGUUAAACUUCAGUGGUUUAUGAUAUAGUCAGGAUUUGUUUUAGUGGUGAUAGAAGCAACAUUAAAUGAAGCACUACAGAUAAAACACAAUAAACAAAUAACAGAACUUGAAUAUGUUCAUAGUAUUUUCAAAGUAUCUCCAAUACUACUCCAGCAGAUUGUUUUCACAGACAAUUGAAAUGCUUGGUGAUUGUAACCAUUGCAAGCUUUAAGCUGUGCUGCCUGGUUUGAAGCAAUAUGUAGACUGUAAUACUAAACCCCCAUUUGCACCUCUCACCAUAAUGUCCGUUUAAUUCCCACCUACAAGUCCCUGCUCAAAAGCAGGACAGCACAAGUAAAACUGUACUUGUUUGGAACAAUGAUGGCAUUGAGACCUUAAAGGGAAAUGAAGCAGUCAAUCAAGUUUACAUCAUUUACACAAUGGAUUUCCACUACGAUCGACAAUUAUACAAGAAACAUGACAAAUGUAAACAAAUAAAAGACA